CCCCCCCCCCCCCCCCCCCCCCCCCCCCCCCCCCCCCCCCCCCCCCCCCCCCCCCCCCCCCCCCCCCCCCCCCCCCCCCCCCCCCCCCCCCCGGGAAUGUGGGACAAGGAAAGCCCCUGCCGGGGGUGGGGGGUGGGUGCAUGGAGAAGGGGACGCAGCCCCUUGCGCACGGGUACAGCCGGGAGAGGAGCGAGGGCAGGGCUGACAGCACUGCACGGUGCGUGGCUGCUCUCCCCGCUGCCGCGGGAGGAUGAGGCCGUGCUUUUGCAGGGAGCUUGGGCUAUUGCGAAGCUUUGCCGUGUGUUGUAUUCCCUGUCCGGCUUCCUGAGCUCCAGCUCCAUCUCGCACCACUGCCAUGAGUUUUACCUCUUGUCUCUUCACCUUGGGCUCCCGGCCCGGCUUAUCACUGGAGAAAUCCCACCCGCUCUUUUUACUGCCACAGGGCUACAGAGGCAGCGAGGGUUGGAGCCAGAGCCCUGGUGCAGGAUGCUCUGUUUGCCAGAGCUGUGGCUAGUUUUGCCCCAGAUUUAAAGCUCCACUGGCUUUCAGGGAAAGGCGGCGUGAGCCAGCCGCGGGCAGGGCAGUGCCGCCGCCCCGCUCCGGUGCACCGGCGUGAGCAGAAUCAGCCUCAUCUCAGAGUGGGGUCUGCGACCUCCCUACUUGUCUGCGGGGGUCUCUGCACACAGGAGACCCCUUUCCUCCUCAUGCCCGACCCUGGCAAAGUUUGGAGCAGAGGACGAACACCUCAUCACUCCCAACUCUGUGAGCCAGCAGCCAUGUGCUCCUCACAGCUGGAUCUUCUCGCCAGCAUGCCCGGAGCCUUCCCGCCCGGGCAAAGGGACAGCGCAGCCCCCGGAGGCUGUGGAGCUCUCCCCAUCUCCUGCACGGCAGGAGGAGGGCCUGGGGCAUUGGCUGCUGGGGAGCCCAGAGGAAGCCGCCUUUCCCUGGGGAUCCUGGCAGGGGUGGGGAUCGUGGCUGACCGACUCCCAGGGCUGGUUCCCCAGAUUGGAGCCGGUAGCAGUGCCGAGCUGUGCCAAUGCCGAGCCGUGCCGGGCGGGUGGGUGACAAUGGGUGACGCCAGGGAGCAGACCGAAAGGUGCCCGUGGCUAAUCAGCUCCCACCCGCCGUGUUUGCCCAGCAGUGCCCGGGAGCGCUGCUCCCGCCCGGCGUUGUCGCUGUGA
rnacentral:lncRNA from 1 species